rnacentral:ncRNA from 1 species
GGUUUUCCUUAUGAAUUCAUUAUGAGGAAAUAAAAGGGAAUGCCGUGAGAAUCGGCAACAAUACCCGUUGCUGUAAGUCUUGCCCUGUAAAGGGAACUUCGCACACUCUGGCCACUGGUCGUAUGACCGGGAAGGCGUAGCGGAGAAGACGAGUCAGAAGACCUGCCUUGUGAUA